UUCUCUUGACACUAGUAGCCAUUAUAUUCCUUCUUUUCUUGUAGACUGAGCACGAGAGAGCUCAUCUUUCUGUAUCGGAAUAUUUCUACUCAAUCCGAUAAGCAUUAACACUUUGUAAAGUAAAAGUCUUUAGACUCGCCACUUUAAAUCAUGAGAGCAAAGUGGCGUAAGAAGCGUAUGCGAAGGCUAAAACGUAAACGUAGGAAGAUGCGUGCAAGGUCUAAGUAAAAGGUACACUUGUGAGUGUGGAGUAUAUUAUCUAAUAAAUCCUUCUUACAUGUGUAUUUAAUAAAAAAUUAAAAAUC